rnacentral:tmRNA from 1 species
GGGGCUGCAUUGGUUUCGACGUGGGUUCGGACGCGGUGUGGUGCAUGUCGAGCUGAGUGUGCUCGUAAAACUGAUUCAAACAAACUAACUGCAAACGACGAACGUUUCGCACUCGCUGCUUAAUUGCCAGUGAGCUUUACAACAGCAGGCCGAUGGGCUGGGCAAGGGGUGUUUAGCGCAAGUUAAAUGCUCCCGGCUGUA